UUAUUCAAUUAUACAGCACUAAUACAUCAGAUCUCAUCAGAACUCCGCAAUUAAGCGUGCUUAGGCGAGAAUAACACUAAGAUGGGUUACCUCCUAGGAAAUUCUCGUGUUGAGGACA
rfam:Gossypium hirsutum cultivar TM-1 unplaced genomic scaffold scaffold1263.1, whole genome shotgun sequence